rnacentral:tmRNA from 1 species
GGGGCUAUCUGGAUUUGACAGCGGGUAGAAAAGGUAUGUAAGCACGCAGUGCCUCGUUGGUUCGCACUAUAAUCUGAGCCCGCAAGAAUUUAUCUGGCAACAAUAACUACGCUCUUGCUGCUUAAUCGAAGUAUAGUAGAUUAGCUUUAUCCCUGCACCAGGUGCGGGGACGAGACAUCACCCGGACACUGUUGUUCCGAAGUAAUCCGACCCGGUGGUGCAGGCAAAUCGGGACUAACCGUUGCAGGCCUCGAUGCAACGGCGACAUUUCAGAGGAUAAGGCGCAGGUUGGCGGUCGCGGUCUUACCUGUGCACGAAAACCUUACCGAUGACUAAGCGUGUAGAAAGCAUAUGGUUUCCCUGUUUGGACGAGGGUUCGACUCCCUCUAGCUCCACAU